CAAGCCCUAAACUACCCCUCCCCUCCCCAAAAAUCUUGAAAAAUCUCAGACCCUCGCAAAAUAGAUCAAAAAAUCUUAGCCCUCCCCCAAAGCAUUGCCUCUCGCUCCCCUUCUUCACCGACUACCUCUGCCCUCUCCCUCCUCUCCUCCUCCACCGUCAAAACCUUCACUCCACCGCCUUACAGCCAAUGGCACCGUCAUCUUCGGCGACAUCGAGCAGGACCCUUGCCUUCGUACCAUCAGUGUUGUCGUUGUCGCCAGCGGCACCAACCUCGAUGUCUCCUUCAAGAGUUCUUCAACUGAAGGAGUCUUUAUUUUUCACUGAUCUAAGCUACGUAGAAGGAGGGUGUUGACGAUCUCGAAUGACUUGAGAGAGGCGGUCAGGUUAAGACAGAGAAAAGGAAGCCUGUGUUUAUCUCCAAUGUGUGAUUACUAAUUAAGGAUCAAUUGAAGUUAUUUUGGAAUAAUAAAAGAAAUAAGAUGAUGAUCAAAUUUACUCUUUUGGUUUGAGUGCAUUAUCUUGGUGUGUUUUAAUGUUGAGUGACAAAUUAUGAACCUUCAAAUAUUAUUAAAAUUUUAGAUGCUUUUGUA